rnacentral:rRNA from 1 species
UUCCUACGGGACGCAGCAGUAGGGAAUCUUCGGCAAUGGGCGAAAGCCUGACCGAGCAACGCCGCGUGAAUGAAGAAGGCCUUCGGGUUGUAAAAUUCUGUUAUAAGGGAAGAAAGGUGCUAGGAGGAAAUGACUAUCAAUUGACGGUACCUUAUGAGAAAGCCACGGCUAACUACGUGCCAGCAGCCGCGGUAAUACGUAGGUGGCAAGCGUUAUCCGGAAUUAUUGGGCGUAAGGAGCGCGCAGGUGGUUAAUUAGGUCUGAUGUGAAAGCGCACGGCUUAACCGUGGAGGGGCAUUGGAAAU